UACGAGGGGUCCUAGCGUUGUUCGGAAUCAUUGGGCGUAAAGAGUCUGUAGGCGGCCAUGUAAGUCAGGUGUGAAAGCCCCGGGCUCAACCCGGGAAGUGCAUUUGAUACUGCAUGGCUUGAAUGUUGGAGAGGGCAGCAGAAUUCCAGGUGUAGUGGUGAAAUACGUAGAUAUCUGGAGGAAUACCGGUGGCGAAGGCGGCUGCCUGGCCAAACAUUGACGCUGAGAGACGAAAGCGUGGGGAGCAAACAGG
rnacentral:misc_RNA from 1 species